rnacentral:lncRNA from 1 species
GCGCAGUGAGUUCUCAGCGCCUCCCGCCGCGCAGGCUCGGCGUUGGCCUCCGCGGCCCGUGCGAGUGCGCCCUUCUCGGGUCCCCUAGGUCGCGGGGCAGCCGGGGCGGAAGGGGCUUGUUCAUUAUUUUGAGAGUUUGUUGUGAACGUCAUAACCUUUCGUCCUUAAAUAUUGCCGAUACUUGACCUACGCAAGAGACAAUGUCAUGUGAUUCAGCCUAAUAUCUCAGAGGAUGCAGCAUUCAAGGUUCUAUCUUGGAAGCAGAGACUGUGCCCUCACCAGAUGCUGAACCUGCUGAGCACCCUGAUCUUCCACUUCACCUUCAUCAGAACUGUCUUUGAGGAAUUGUCACACUGUCUUCUGCAAUGGAUGAACUAAUUUACACUCUCAACAACAGUGUAUAAGCAUUCCUUUUGCUCUGCAACCUCACCAGACAUCUGGACGCGCAUGAAAUUUGGUGCCGUGACUCGGAUCGGCGGACCUCCCUUAGGAGAUCAAUCCCCUGUCCUCCUGCUCUUUGCUCCAUGAGAAAGAUCCACCUACGACCUAAGGUCCUCAGACCAACCAGCCCAAGAAACAUCUCACCAAUUUCAAAUCCGAAAUCCUUCAUCUAAUCUGGCAAACACAUGUGGCAGGUUUUUCUCACCGCAUAAAAUAUGUUAUAGAGUAGUCCAUCUAUUUCUCUUCCAUGGAAGAGUUCAUCUGGUAGAUUGGACUACCACUUUUCCUUGAUGAGAGACGUUGAGCUCCAAACUCAGACUAAGAAACUAUAAGAAAUAUGCUUCAAUGAAGAAGCUGUUCAAAAAUGAGUAAGAUUGUUUCCUUGAGGCAAGAAAGAAAUGCAGAAGUCUUGACAAACAAAAGAAGAGAUUGCCUUAGGGAAGGGGACUACAGUGAACACUGAGAACUUCUUCCCACGCUAAGACAAUCUUUACAGAGCAAGACUCCGUCUCAAAAAAAAAAAAAAAAGUAAGCAUAAGAAG